rnacentral:misc_RNA from 1 species
CGGACACACAAAAAGAAAGAAGAAUUUUUAGGAUCUUUUGUGUGCGAAUAACUAUGAGGAAGAUUAAUAAUUUUCCUCUCAUUGAAAUUUAUAUCGGAAUUUAAAUUGAAAUUGUUACUGUAAUCACACCUGGUUUGUUUCAGAGCCACAUCACAAAGAUAGAGAACAACCUAGGUCUCUAAAGGGGGCAAGGGCAUCAGUGUGCUCAGUUGAAAAUCCCUUGUCAACAUCUAGGUCUUAUCACAUCACAAGUUCCACCUCAGACUCUGCAGGGUGAUCCAACAACCUUAAUAGAAACAUUAUUGUUAAAGGACAGCAUUAGUUCACAGUCAAACAAGCAAGAUUGAGAAUUAACCUUGGUUUUGAACUUGAACACUUAGAGGAUUGGAGAUUCAACAACCCUAAAGCUUGGAGUAAAACAUUGGAAAUAGUUAAAAGACAAAUUGCUCGGAAUCACAAAAUCCCGAGUAUGGAUUCUCGUCCUCAGAAAGUCUGGAUGACGCCGAGUCUCACUGAAUCUGACAUGGAUUACCACAAGAUCCUGACAGCAGGUCUGUCCGUUCAACAGGGGAUUGUUCGGCAAAGAGUCAUCCCAGUGUAUCAAGUAAACAAUCUUGAGGAGAUUUGCCAACUUAUCAUACAGGCUUUUGAAGCAGGUGUUGAUUUUCAAGAGAGUGCGGACAGUUUCCUUCUCAUGCUUUGUCUUCAUCAUGCGUACCAGGGAGAUUACAAACUUUUCUUGGAAAGUGGCGCAGUCAAGUACUUGGAAGGGCACGGGUUCCGUUUUGAAGUCAAGAAGCGUGAUGGAGUGAAGCGCCUUGAGGAAUUGCUGCCAGCAGUAUCUAGUGGAAAAAACAUUAAGAGAACACUUGCUGCCAUGCCGGAAGAGGAGACAACUGAAGCUAAUGCCGGUCAGUUUCUCUCCUUUGCAAGUCUAUUCCUUCCGAAAUUGGUAGUAGGAGAAAAGGCUUGCCUUGAGAAGGUUCAAAGGCAAAUUCAAGUACAUGCAGAGCAAGGACUGAUACAAUAUCCAACAGCUUGGCAAUCAGUAGGACACAUGAUGGUGAUUUUCCGUUUGAUGCGAACAAAUUUUUUGAUCAAAUUUCUCCUAAUACACCAAGGGAUGCACAUGGUUGCCGGGCAUGAUGCCAACGACGCUGUGAUUUCAAAUUCAGUGGCUCAAGCUCGUUUUUCAGGUUUAUUGAUUGUCAAAACAGUACUUGAUCAUAUCCUACAAAAGACAGAACGAGGAGUUCGUCUCCAUCCUCUUGCAAGGACCGCCAAGGUAAAAAAUGAGGUGAACUCCUUUAAGGCUGCACUCAGCUCCCUGGCCAAGCAUGGAGAGUAUGCUCCUUUCGCCCGACUUUUGAACCUUUCUGGAGUAAAUAAUCUUGAGCAUGGUCUUUUCCCUCAACUAUCAGCAAUUGCACUUGGAGUCGCCACAGCACACGGGAGUACCCUUGCAGGAGUAAAUGUUGGAGAACAGUAUCAACAACUCAGAGAGGCUGCCACUGAGGCUGAGAAGCAACUCCAACAAUACGCAGAGUCUCGCGAACUUGACCAUCUUGGACUUGAUGAUCAGGAAAAGAAAAUUCUUAUGAACUUCCAUCAGAAAAAGAACGAAAUCAGCUUCCAGCAAACAAACGCUAUGGUAACUCUAAGAAAAGAGCGCCUGGCCAAGCUGACGGAAGCUAUCACUGCUGCGUCACUGCCCAAAACAAGUGGACAUUACGAUGAUGAUGACGACAUUCCCUUUCCAGGGCCCAUCAAUGAUGACGACAAUCCUGGCCAUCAAGAUGAUGAUCCGACUGACUCACAGGAUACGACCAUUCCCGAUGUGGUGGUUGAUCCCGAUGAUGGAAGCUACGGCGAAUACCAGAGUUACUCGGAAAACGGCAUGAAUGCACCAGAUGACUUGGUCCUAUUCGAUCUAGACGAGGACGAUGAGGACACUAAGCCAGUGCCUAAUAGAUCGACCAAGGGUGGACAACAGAAAAACAGUCAAAAGGGCCAGCAUACAGAGGGCAGACAGACACAAUCCAGGCCAACUCAAAAUGUCCCAGGCCCUCACAGAGCAAUCCACCACACCAGUGCUCCACUCACGGACAAUGACAGAAGAAAUGAACCCUCCAGCUCAACCAGCCCUCGCAUGCUGACACCAAUCAACGAAGAGGCAGACCCACUGGACGAUGCCGACGACGAGACGUCCAGCCUUCCGCCCUUGGAGUCAGACGAUGAAGAACAGGACAGGGACGGAACCCCCAACCGCACACCCACUGUCGCCCCACCGGCUCCCGUAUACAGAGAUCACUCUGAAAAGAAAGAACUCCCGCAAGAUGAGCAACAAGAUCAGGACCACACUCAAGAGGCCAGGAACCAGGACAGUGACAACACCCAGCCAGAACACUCUUUUGAGGAGAUGUAUCGCCACAUUCUAAGAUCACAGGGGCCAUUUGAUGCUGUUUUGUAUUAUCAUAUGAUGAAGGAUGAGCCUGUAGUUUUCAGUACCAGUGAUGGCAAAGAGUACACGUAUCCAGACUCCCUUGAAGAGGAAUAUCCACCAUGGCUCACUGAAAAAGAGGCUAUGAAUGAAGAGAAUAGAUUUGUUACAUUGGAUGGUCAACAAUUUUAUUGGCCGGUAAUGAACCACAAGAAUAAAUUCAUGGCAAUCCUGCAACAUCAUCAGUGAAUGAGCAUGGAACAAUGGGAUGAUUCAACCGACAAAUAGCUAACAUUAAGUAGUCAAGGAACGAAAACAGGAAGAAUUUUUGAUGUCUAAGGUGUGAAUUAUUAUCACAAUAAAAGUGAUUUUUAUUUUUGAAUUUAAAGCUAGCUUAUUAUUACUAGCCGUUUUUCAAAGUUCAAUUUGAGUCUUAAUGCAAAUAGGCGUUAAGCCACAGUUAUAGCCAUAAUUGUAACUCAAUAUCCUAACUAGCGAUUUAUCUAAAUUAAAUUACAUUAUGCUUUUAUAACUUACCUACUAGCCUACCCAACAUUUACACGAUCAUUUUAUAAUUAAGAAAAAACUAAUGAUGAAGAUUAAAACCUUCAUCAUCCUUACGUCAAUUGAAUUCUCUAGCACUCGAAGCUUAUUGUCUUCAAUGUAAAAGAAAAGCUGGUCUAACAAGAUGACAACCAGAACAAAGGGCAGGGGCCACACUGCGGCCACGACUCAAAACGACAGAAUGCCAGGCCCUGAGCUUUCGGGCUGGAUCUCUGAGCAGCUAAUGACCGGAAGAAUUCCUGUAAGCGACAUCUUCUGUGAUAUUGAGAACAAUCCAGGAUUAUGCUACGCAUCCCAAAUGCAACAAACGAAGCCAAACCCGAAGACGCGCAACAGUCAAACCCAAACGGACCCAAUUUGCAAUCAUAGUUUUGAGGAGGUAGUACAAACAUUAGCUUCAUUGGCUACUGUUGUGCAACAACAAACCAUCGCAUCAGAAUCAUUAGAACAACGCAUUACGAGUCUUGAGAAUGGUCUAAAGCCAGUUUAUGAUAUGGCAAAAACAAUCUCCUCAUUGAACAGGGUUUGUGCUGAGAUGGUUGCAAAAUAUGAUCUUCUGGUGAUGACAACCGGUCGGGCAACAGCAACCGCUGCGGCAACUGAGGCUUAUUGGGCCGAGCAUGGUCAACCACCACCUGGACCAUCACUUUAUGAAGAAAGUGCGAUUCGGGGUAAGAUUGAAUCUAGAGAUGAGACCGUCCCUCAAAGUGUUAGGGAGGCAUUCAACAAUCUAGACAGUACCACUUCACUAACUGAGGAAAAUUUUGGGAAACCUGACAUUUCGGCAAAGGAUUUGAGAAACAUUAUGUAUGAUCACUUGCCUGGUUUUGGAACUGCUUUCCACCAAUUAGUACAAGUGAUUUGUAAAUUGGGAAAAGAUAGCAACUCAUUGGACAUCAUUCAUGCUGAGUUCCAGGCCAGCCUGGCUGAAGGAGACUCUCCUCAAUGUGCCCUAAUUCAAAUUACAAAAAGAGUUCCAAUCUUCCAAGAUGCUGCUCCACCUGUCAUACACAUCCGCUCUCGAGGUGACAUUCCUCGAGCUUGCCAGAAAAGCUUGCGUCCAGUCCCACCAUCGCCCAAGAUUGAUCGAGGUUGGGUAUGUGUUUUUCAGCUUCAAGAUGGUAAAACACUUGGACUCAAAAUUUGAGCCAAUCUCCCUUCCCUCCGAAAGAGGCGACUAAUAGCAGAGGCUUCAACUGCUGAACUAUAGGGUACGUUACAUUAAUGAUACACUUGUGAGUAUCAGCCCUGGAUAAUAUAAGUCAAUCAAACGACCAAGAUAAAAUUGUUCUUAUCUCGCUAGCAGCUUAAAAUAUAGAUGUAAUAGGAGCUAUAUCUCUGACAGUAUUAUAAUCAAUUGUUAUUAAGUAACCCAAACCAAAAGUGAUGAAGAUUAAGAAAAACCUACCUCGACUGAGAGAGUGUUUUUUCAUUAACCUUCAUCUUGUAAACGUUGAGCAAAAUUGUUAAAAAUAUGAGGCGGGUUAUAUUGCCUACUGCUCCUCCUGAAUAUAUGGAGGCCAUAUACCCUGUCAGGUCAAAUUCAACAAUUGCUAGAGGUGGCAACAGCAAUACAGGCUUCCUGACACCGGAGUCAGUCAAUGGGGACACUCCAUCGAAUCCACUCAGGCCAAUUGCCGAUGACACCAUCGACCAUGCCAGCCACACACCAGGCAGUGUGUCAUCAGCAUUCAUCCUUGAAGCUAUGGUGAAUGUCAUAUCGGGCCCCAAAGUGCUAAUGAAGCAAAUUCCAAUUUGGCUUCCUCUAGGUGUCGCUGAUCAAAAGACCUACAGCUUUGACUCAACUACGGCCGCCAUCAUGCUUGCUUCAUAUACUAUCACCCAUUUCGGCAAGGCAACCAAUCCACUUGUCAGAGUCAAUCGGCUGGGUCCUGGAAUCCCGGAUCACCCCCUCAGGCUCCUGCGAAUUGGAAACCAGGCCUUCCUCCAGGAGUUCGUUCUUCCGCCAGUCCAACUACCCCAGUAUUUCACCUUUGAUUUGACAGCACUCAAACUGAUCACCCAACCACUGCCUGCUGCAACAUGGACCGAUGACACUCCAACGGGAUCAAAUGGAGCGUUGCGCCCAGGAAUUUCAUUUCAUCCAAAACUUCGCCCCAUUCUUUUACCCAACAAGAGUGGGAAGAAGGGGAAUAGUGCCGAUCUAACAUCUCCGGAGAAAAUCCAAGCAAUAAUGACUUCACUCCAGGACUUUAAGAUCGUUCCAAUUGAUCCAACCAAAAAUAUCAUGGGAAUCGAAGUGCCAGAAACUCUGGUCCACAAGCUGACCGGUAAGAAGGUGACUUCUAAAAAUGGACAACCAAUCAUCCCUGUUCUUUUGCCAAAGUACAUUGGUUUGGACCCGGUGGCUCCAGGAGACCUCACCAUGGUAAUCACACAGGAUUGUGACACGUGUCAUUCUCCUGCGAGUCUUCCAGCUGUGAUUGAGAAGUAAUUGCAAUAAUUGACUCAGAUCCAGUUUUACAGAAUCUUCUCAGGGAUAGUGAUAAUAUCUAUUUAGUAAUUCGUCCAUUAGAGGAGAUACUUUUGAUUGAUCAAUAUACUAAAGGUGCUUUACACCAUUGUCUUUUUUCUCUCCUAAAUGUAGAACUUAACAAAAGACUCAUAAUAUACUUGUUUUUAAAAGAUUGAUUGAUGAAAGAUCAUAACUAAUAACAUCACAAAUAAUCCUACUAUAAUCAAUACGGUGAUUCAAAUGUUAAUCUUUCUCAUUGCACAUACUCUUUGCCCUUAUCCUCAAAUUGCCUACAUGCUUACAUCUGAGGAUAGCCAGUGUGACUUGGAUUGGAGAUGUGGAGAAAAAAUCGGGACCCAUUUCUAGGUUGUUCACCAUCCAAGUACAGACAUUGCCCUUCUAAUUAAGAAAAAAUCGGCGAUGAAGAUUAAGCCGACAGUGAGCGUAAUCUUCAUCUCUCUUAGAUUAUUUGUCUUCCAGAGUAGGGAUCGUCAGGUCCUUUUCAAUCGUAUAACCAAAAUAAACUUCACUAGAAGGAUAUUGUGGGGCAACAACACAAUGGGUGUCACAGGAAUAUUGCAGUUACCUCGUGAUCGAUUCAAGAGGACAUCAUUCUUUCUUUGGGUAAUUAUCCUUUUCCAAAGAACAUUUUCCAUCCCACUUGGAGUCAUCCACAAUAGCACAUUACAGGUUAGUGAUGUCGACAAACUGGUUUGCCGUGACAAACUGUCAUCCACAAAUCAAUUGAGAUCAGUUGGACUGAAUCUCGAAGGGAAUGGAGUGGCAACCGACGUGCCAUCUGCAACUAAAAGAUGGGGCUUCAGGUCCGGUGUCCCACCAAAAGUGGUCAAUUAUGAAGCUGGUGAAUGGGCUGAAAACUGCUACAAUCUUGAAAUCAAAAAACCUGACGGGAGUGAGUGUCUACCAGCAGCGCCAGACGGGAUUCGGGGCUUCCCCCGGUGCCGGUAUGUGCACAAAGUAUCAGGAACGGGACCGUGUGCCGGAGACUUUGCCUUCCACAAAGAGGGUGCUUUCUUCCUGUAUGAUCGACUUGCUUCCACGGUUAUCUACCGAGGGACGACUUUCGCUGAAGGUGUCGUUGCAUUUCUGAUACUGCCCCAAGCUAAGAAGGACUUCUUCAGCUCACACCCCUUGAGAGAGCCGGUCAAUGCAACGGAGGACCCGUCUAGUGGUUACUAUUCUACCACAAUUAGAUAUCAGGCUACCGGUUUUGGAACCAAUGAGACAGAGUAUUUGUUCGAGGUUGACAAUUUGACCUACGUCCAACUUGAAUCAAGAUUCACACCACAGUUUCUGCUCCAGCUGAAUGAGACAAUAUAUACAAGUGGGAAAAGGAGCAAUACCACGGGAAAACUAAUUUGGAAGGUCAACCCCGAAAUUGAUACAACAAUCGGGGAGUGGGCCUUCUGGGAAACUAAAAAAACCUCACUAGAAAAAUUCGCAGUGAAGAGUUGUCUUUCACAGCUGUAUCAAACAGAGCCAAAAACAUCAGUGGUCAGAGUCCGGCGCGAACUUCUUCCGACCCAGGGACCAACACAACAACUGAAGGCCACAAAAUCAUGGCUUCAGAAAAUUCCUCUGCAAUGGUUCAAGUGCACAGUCAAGGAAGGGAAGCUGCAGUGUCGCAUCUGACAACCCUUGCCACAAUCUCCACGAGUCCUCAACCCCCCACAACCAAACCAGGUCCGGACAACAGCACCCACAAUACACCCGUGUAUAAACUUGACAUCUCUGAGGCAACUCAAGUUGAACAACAUCACCGCAGAACAGACAACGACAGCACAACCUCUGACACUCCCCCCGCCAUGACCGCAGCCGGACCCCUAAAAGCAGAGAACACCAACACGAGCAAGGGCACUGACCUCCUGGACCCCGCCACCACAACAAGUCCCCAAAACCACAGCGAGACCGCUGGCAACAACAACACUCAUCACCAAGAUACCGGAGAAGAGAGUACCAGCAGCGGGAAGCUAGGCUUAAUUACCAAUACUAUUGCUGGAGUCGCAGGACUGAUCACAGGCGGGAGAAGAACUCGAAGAGAAGCAAUUGUCAAUGCUCAACCCAAAUGCAACCCUAAUUUACAUUACUGGACUACUCAGGAUGAAGGUGCUGCAAUCGGACUGGCCUGGAUACCAUAUUUCGGGCCAGCAGCCGAGGGAAUUUACACAGAGGGGCUGAUGCACAAUCAAGAUGGUUUAAUCUGUGGGUUGAGACAGCUGGCCAACGAGACGACUCAAGCUCUUCAACUGUUCCUGAGAGCCACAACCGAGCUACGCACCUUUUCAAUCCUCAACCGUAAGGCAAUUGAUUUCUUGCUGCAGCGAUGGGGCGGCACAUGCCACAUUUUGGGACCGGACUGCUGUAUCGAACCACAUGAUUGGACCAAGAACAUAACAGACAAAAUUGAUCAGAUUAUUCAUGAUUUUGUUGAUAAAACCCUUCCGGACCAGGGGGACAAUGACAAUUGGUGGACAGGAUGGAGACAGUGGAUACCGGCAGGUAUUGGAGUUACAGGCGUUAUAAUUGCAGUUAUCGCUUUAUUCUGUAUAUGCAAAUUUGUCUUUUAGUUUUUCUUCAGAUUGCUUCAUGGCAAAGCUCAGCCUCAAAUCAAUGAAACCAGGAUUUAAUUAUAUGGAUUACUUGAAUUUAAGAUUACUUGACAAAUGAUAAUAUAAUACACUGGAGCUUUAAACAUAACCAAUGUGAUUCUAACUCUUUUAAACUCACAGUUAAUCAUAAAUAAGGUUUGACAUCAAUCUAGUUAUCUCUUUGAGAAUGAUAAACUUGAUGAAGAUUAAGAAAAAGGUAAUCUUUCGAUUAUCUUUAAUCUUCAUCCUUGAUUCUACAAUCAUGACAGUUGUCUUUAGUGACAAGGGAAAGAAGCCUUUUUAUUAAGUUGUAAUAAUCAGAUCUGCGAACCGGUAGAGUCUAGUUGCAACCUAACACACAUAAAGCAUUGAUCAAAAAGUCAAUAGAAAUUUAAACAGUGAGUGGAGACAACUUUUAAAUGGAAGCUUCAUAUGAGAGAGGACGCCCACGAGCUGCCAGACAGCAUUCAAGGGAUGGACACGACCACCAUGUUCGAGCACGAUCAUCAUCCAGAGAGAAUUAUCGAGGUGAGUACCGUCAAUCAAGGAGCGCCUCACAAGUGCGCGUUCCUACUGUAUUUCAUAAGAAGAGAGUUGAACCAUUAACAGUUCCUCCAGCACCUAAAGACAUAUGUCCGACCUUGAAAAAAGGAUUUUUGUGUGACAGUAGUUUUUGCAAAAAAGAUCACCAGUUGGAGAGUUUAACUGAUAGGGAAUUACUCCUACUAAUCGCCCGUAAGACUUGUGGAUCAGUAGAACAACAAUUAAAUAUAACUGCACCCAAGGACUCGCGCUUAGCAAAUCCAACGGCUGAUGAUUUCCAGCAAGAGGAAGGUCCAAAAAUUACCUUGUUGACUCUGAUCAAGACGGCAGAACACUGGGCGAGACAAGACAUCAGAACCAUAGAGGAUUCAAAAUUAAGAGCAUUGUUGACUCUAUGUGCUGUGAUGACGAGGAAGUUCUCAAAAUCCCAGCUGAGUCUUUUAUGUGAGACACACCUAAGGCGCGAGGGGCUUGGGCAAGAUCAGGCAGAACCCGUUCUCGAAGUAUAUCAACGAUUACACAGUGAUAAAGGAGGCAGUUUUGAAGCUGCACUAUGGCAACAGUGGGACCGACAAUCCCUAAUUAUGUUUAUCACUGCAUUCUUGAAUAUCGCUCUCCAGUUACCGUGUGAAAGUUCUGCUGUCGUUGUUUCAGGGUUAAGAACAUUGGUUCCUCAAUCAGAUAAUGAGGAAGCUUCAACCAACCCGGGGACAUGCUCAUGGUCUGAUGAGGGUACCCCUUAAUAAGGCUGACUAAAACACUAUAUAACCUUCUACUUGAGCACAAUACUCCGUAUACCUAUUAUCAUAUAUUUAAUCAAGACGAUAUCCUUUAAGACUUAUUCAGUACUAUAAUCACUCUCGUUUCAAAUUAAUAAGAUGUGCAUGAUUGCCCUAAUAUAUGAAGAGGUAUGAUACAACCCCAACAGUGACCAAAGACAAUCAUAAUCUCGUAUCGCUCGUAAUAUAACCUGCCAAGCAUACCUCUUGUACAAAGUGAUUCUUGUACACAAAUAAUAUUUUACCCUACAGGAGGUAGCAAUGAUCCAUCCCAUCAAAAAAUAAGUAUUUUAUGACUUACUAAUGAUCUCUUAAAAUAUUAAGAAAAACUGACGGAACAUAAAUUCCUUCUGCUUCAAGUUGUGGAGGAGGUGUUUGGUAUUGGCUCUUGUUAUAUUGCAAUCAAUAACAAGCUUGUAAAAAUAUUGUUCUUGUUUCAAGAGGUAGAUUGUGGCCGGAAAUGCUAAACUAAUGAUGAAGAUUAAUGCGGAGGUCUGAUAAGAAUAAACCUUAUUAUUCAGAUUAGGCCCCAAGAGGCAUUCUUCAUCUCCUUUUAGCAAAGUACUAUUCCAGGGUAGUCCAAUUAGUGACACGUCUCUUAGCUGUAUAUCAGUCGCCCCUGAGAUACGCCACAAAAGUGUCUCUAAGCUAAAUUGGUCUGUACACAUCUCAUACAUUGUAUUGGGGGCAAUAAUAUCUAAUUGAACUUAGCCGUUUAAAAUUUAGUGCAUAAAUCUGGGCUAACUCCACCAGGUCAACUCCAUUGGCUGAAAAGAAGCCUACCUACAACGAACAUCACUUUGAGCGCCCUCAAAUUUAAAAAAUAGGAACGUCGUUCCAACAAUCGAGCGCAAGGUUUCAAGGUUGAACUGGGAGUGUCUAGACAACAGAGUAUCGAGACUCCAGACACCAAGCAAGACCUGAGGAAAAACCAUGGCUAAAGCUACGGGACGAUACAAUCUAAUAUCACCCAAAAAGGACCUUGAGAAAGGGGUUGUCUUAAGCGACCUCUGUAACUUCUUAGUUAGCCAAACUAUUCAGGGGUGGAAGGUUUAUUGGGCUGGUAUUGAGUUUGAUGUGACUCACAAAGGAAUGGCCCUAUUGCAUAGACUGAAAACUAAUGACUUUGCCCCUGCAUGGUCAAUGACAAGGAAUCUCUUUCCUCAUUUAUUUCAAAAUCCGAAUUCCACAAUUGAAUCACCGCUGUGGGCAUUGAGAGUCAUCCUUGCAGCAGGGAUACAAGACCAGCUGAUUGACCAGUCUUUGAUUGAACCCUUAGCAGGAGCCCUUGGUCUGAUCUCUGAUUGGCUGCUAACAACCAACACUAACCAUUUCAACAUGCGAACACAACGUGUCAAGGAACAAUUGAGCCUAAAAAUGCUGUCGUUGAUUCGAUCCAAUAUUCUCAAGUUUAUUAACAAAUUGGAUGCUCUACAUGUCGUGAACUACAACGGAUUGUUGAGCAGUAUUGAAAUUGGAACUCAAAAUCAUACAAUCAUCAUAACUCGAACUAACAUGGGUUUUCUGGUGGAGCUCCAAGAACCCGACAAAUCGGCAAUGAACCGCAAGAAGCCUGGGCCGGCGAAAUUUUCCCUCCUUCAUGAGUCCACACUGAAAGCAUUUACACAAGGAUCCUCGACACGAAUGCAAAGUUUGAUUCUUGAAUUUAAUAGCUCUCUUGCUAUCUAACUAAGAUGGAAUACUUCAUAUUGAGCUAACUCAUAUAUGCUGACUCAAUAGUUAUCUUGACGUCUCUGCUUUCAUAAUCAGAUAUAUAAGCAUAAUAAAUAAAUACUCAUAUUUCUUGAUAAUUUGUUUAACCACAGAUAAAUCCUCACUGUAAGCCAGCUUCCAAGUUGACACCCUUACAAAAACCAGGACUCAGAAUCCCUCAAAUAAGAGAUUCCAAGACAACAUCAUAGAAUUGCUUUAUCAUAUGAAUAAGCAUUUUAUCACCAGAAAUCUUAUAUACUAAAUGGUUAAUUGUAACUGAACCCGCAGGUCACAUGUGUUAGGUUUCACAGAUUCUAUAUAUUACUAACUCUAUACUCGUAAUUAACAUUAGAUAAGUAGAUUAAGAAAAAAGCCUGAGGAAGAUUAAGAAAAACUGCUUAUUGGGUCUUUCCGUGUUUUAGAUGAAGCAGUUGAAAUUCUUCCUCUUAAUAUUAAAUGGCUACACAACAUACCCAGUACCCGGACGCUAGGUUAUCAUCACCAAUUGUAUUGGACCAAUGUGACCUAGUCACUAGAGCUUGCGGGUUAUAUUCAUCAUACUCCCUUAAUCCGCAACUACGCAACUGUAAACUCCCGAAACAUAUCUACCGUUUGAAAUACGAUGUAACUGUUACCAAGUUCUUGAGUGAUGUACCAGUGGCGACAUUGCCCAUAGAUUUCAUAGUCCCAAUUCUUCUCAAGGCACUGUCAGGCAAUGGGUUCUGUCCUGUUGAGCCGCGGUGCCAACAGUUCUUAGAUGAAAUCAUUAAGUACACAAUGCAAGAUGCUCUCUUCUUGAAAUAUUAUCUCAAAAAUGUGGGUGCUCAAGAAGACUGUGUUGAUGACCACUUUCAAGAGAAAAUCUUAUCUUCAAUUCAGGGCAAUGAAUUUUUACAUCAAAUGUUUUUCUGGUAUGAUCUGGCUAUUUUAACUCGAAGGGGUAGAUUAAAUCGAGGAAACUCUAGAUCAACAUGGUUUGUUCAUGAUGAUUUAAUAGACAUCUUAGGUUAUGGGGACUAUGUUUUUUGGAAGAUCCCAAUUUCAAUGUUACCACUGAACACACAAGGAAUCCCCCAUGCUGCUAUGGACUGGUAUCAGGCAUCAGUAUUCAAAGAAGCGGUUCAAGGGCAUACACACAUUGUUUCUGUUUCUACUGCCGACGUCUUGAUAAUGUGCAAAGAUUUAAUUACAUGUCGAUUCAACACAACUCUAAUCUCAAAAAUAGCAGAGAUUGAGGAUCCAGUUUGUUCUGAUUAUCCCAAUUUUAAGAUUGUGUCUAUGCUUUACCAGAGCGGAGAUUACUUACUCUCCAUAUUAGGGUCUGAUGGGUAUAAAAUUAUUAAGUUCCUCGAACCAUUGUGCUUGGCCAAAAUUCAAUUAUGCUCAAAGUACACCGAGAGGAAGGGCCGAUUCUUAACACAAAUGCAUUUAGCUGUAAAUCACACCCUAGAAGAAAUUACAGAAAUGCGUGCACUAAAGCCUUCACAGGCUCAAAAGAUCCGUGAAUUCCAUAGAACAUUGAUAAGGCUGGAGAUGACGCCACAACAACUUUGUGAGCUAUUUUCCAUUCAAAAACACUGGGGGCAUCCUGUGCUACAUAGUGAAACAGCAAUCCAAAAAGUUAAAAAACAUGCUACGGUGCUAAAAGCAUUACGCCCUAUAGUGAUUUUCGAGACAUACUGUGUUUUUAAAUAUAGUAUUGCCAAACAUUAUUUUGAUAGUCAAGGGUCUUGGUACAGUGUUACUUCAGAUAGGAAUCUAACACCAGGUCUUAAUUCUUAUAUCAAAAGAAAUCAAUUCCCUCCGUUGCCAAUGAUUAAAGAACUACUAUGGGAAUUUUACCACCUUGACCAUCCUCCACUUUUCUCAACCAAAAUUAUUAGUGACUUAAGUAUUUUUAUAAAAGACAGAGCUACCGCAGUAGAAAGGACAUGCUGGGAUGCAGUAUUCGAGCCUAAUGUUCUAGGAUAUAAUCCACCUCACAAAUUUAGUACUAAACGUGUACCGGAACAAUUUUUAGAGCAAGAAAACUUUUCUAUUGAGAAUGUUCUUUCCUACGCGCAAAAACUCGAGUAUCUACUACCACAAUAUCGGAACUUUUCUUUCUCAUUGAAAGAGAAAGAGUUGAAUGUAGGUAGAACCUUCGGAAAAUUGCCUUAUCCGACUCGCAAUGUUCAAACACUUUGUGAAGCUCUGUUAGCUGAUGGUCUUGCUAAAGCAUUUCCUAGCAAUAUGAUGGUAGUUACGGAACGUGAGCAAAAAGAAAGCUUAUUGCAUCAAGCAUCAUGGCACCACACAAGUGAUGAUUUUGGUGAACAUGCCACAGUUAGAGGGAGUAGCUUUGUAACUGAUUUAGAGAAAUACAAUCUUGCAUUUAGAUAUGAGUUUACAGCACCUUUUAUCGAAUAUUGCAACCGUUGCUAUGGUGUUAAGAAUGUUUUUAAUUGGAUGCAUUAUACAAUCCCACAGUGUUAUAUGCAUGUUAGUGAUUAUUAUAAUCCACCACAUAACCUCACACUGGAAAAUCGAGACAACCCCCCCGAAGGGCCUAGUUCAUACAGGGGUCAUAUGGGAGGGAUUGAAGGACUGCAACAAAAACUCUGGACAAGUAUUUCAUGUGCUCAAAUUUCUUUAGUUGAAAUUAAGACUGGUUUUAAGUUACGCUCAGCUGUGAUGGGUGACAAUCAGUGCAUUACCGUUUUAUCAGUCUUCCCCUUAGAGACUGACGCAGACGAGCAGGAACAGAGCGCCGAAGACAAUGCAGCGAGGGUGGCCGCUAGCCUAGCAAAAGUUACAAGUGCCUGUGGAAUCUUUUUAAAACCUGAUGAAACAUUUGUACAUUCAGGUUUUAUCUAUUUUGGAAAAAAACAAUAUUUGAACGGGGUCCAAUUGCCUCAGUCCCUUAAAACGGCUACAAGAAUGGCACCAUUGUCUGAUGCAAUUUUUGAUGAUCUUCAAGGAACCCUAGCUAGUAUAGGCACUGCUUUUGAGCGAUCCAUCUCUGAGACACGACAUAUCUUUCCUUGCAGGAUAACCGCAGCUUUCCAUACGUUUUUUUCGGUGAGAAUCUUGCAAUAUCAUCAUCUCGGGUUCAAUAAAGGUUUUGACCUUGGACAGUUAACACUCGGUAAACCUCUGGAUUUCGGAACAAUAUCAUUGGCACUAGCGGUACCGCAGGUGCUUGGAGGAUUAUCCUUCUUGAAUCCUGAGAAAUGUUUCUACCGGAAUCUAGGAGAUCCAGUUACCUCAGGCUUAUUCCAGUUAAAAACUUAUCUCCGAAUGAUUGAGAUGGAUGAUUUAUUCUUACCUUUAAUUGCGAAGAACCCUGGGAACUGCACUGCCAUUGACUUUGUGCUAAAUCCUAGCGGAUUAAAUGUCCCCGGGUCGCAGGACUUAACUUCAUUUCUGCGCCAGAUUGUACGCAGGACCAUCACCCUAAGUGCGAAAAACAAACUUAUUAAUACCUUAUUUCAUGCGUCAGCUGACUUCGAAGACGAAAUGGUUUGUAAAUGGCUAUUAUCAUCAACUCCUGUUAUGAGUCGUUUUGCGGCCGAUAUCUUUUCACGCACGCCGAGCGGGAAGCGAUUGCAAAUUCUAGGAUACCUGGAAGGAACACGCACAUUAUUAGCCUCUAAGAUCAUCAACAAUAAUACAGAGACACCGGUUUUGGACAGACUGAGGAAAAUAACAUUGCAAAGGUGGAGUCUAUGGUUUAGUUAUCUUGAUCAUUGUGAUAAUAUCCUGGCGGAGGCUUUAACCCAAAUAACUUGCACAGUUGAUUUAGCACAGAUCCUGAGGGAAUAUUCAUGGGCUCAUAUUUUAGAGGGAAGACCUCUUAUUGGAGCCACACUCCCAUGUAUGAUUGAGCAAUUCAAAGUGUUUUGGCUGAAACCCUACGAACAAUGUCCGCAGUGUUCAAAUGCAAAGCAACCAGGUGGGAAACCAUUCGUGUCAGUGGCAGUCAAGAAACAUAUUGUUAGUGCAUGGCCGAACGCAUCCCGACUAAGCUGGACUAUCGGGGAUGGAAUCCCUUACAUUGGAUCAAGGACAGAAGAUAAGAUAGGACAACCUGCUAUUAAACCAAAAUGUCCUUCCGCAGCCUUAAGAGAGGCCAUUGAAUUGGCGUCCCGUUUAACAUGGGUAACUCAAGGCAGUUCGAACAGUGACUUGCUAAUAAAGCCAUUUUUGGAAGCACGAGUAAAUUUGAGUGUUCAAGAAAUACUUCAAAUGACUCCUUCACAUUACUCAGGAAAUAUUGUUCACAGGUACAACGAUCAAUACAGUCCUCAUUCUUUCAUGGCCAAUCGUAUGAGUAAUUCAGCAACGCGAUUGAUUGUUUCUACAAACACUUUAGGUGAGUUUUCAGGAGGUGGCCAGUCUGCACGCGACAGCAAUAUUAUUUUCCAGAAUGUUAUAAAUUAUGCAGUUGCACUGUUCGAUAUUAAAUUUAGAAACACUGAAGCUACAGAUAUCCAAUAUAAUCGUGCUCACCUUCAUCUAACUAAGUGUUGCACCCGGGAAGUACCAGCUCAGUAUUUAACAUACACAUCUACAUUGGAUUUAGAUUUAACAAGAUACCGAGAAAACGAAUUGAUUUAUGACAAUAAUCCUCUAAAAGGAGGACUCAAUUGCAAUAUCUCAUUCGAUAACCCAUUUUUCCAAGGUAAGCAGCUGAACAUUAUAGAAGAUGAUCUUAUUCGACUGCCUCACUUAUCUGGAUGGGAGCUAGCCAAGACCAUCAUGCAAUCAAUUAUUUCAGAUAGCAACAAUUCAUCUACAGACCCAAUUAGCAGUGGAGAAACAAGAUCAUUCACUACCCAUUUCUUAACUUAUCCCAAGAUAGGACUGCUGUACAGUUUUGGGGCCUUUGUAAGUUAUUAUCUUGGCAAUACAAUUCUUCGGACUAAGAAAUUAACACUUGACAAUUUUUUAUAUUACUUAACUACCCAAAUUCAUAAUCUACCACAUCGCUCAUUGCGAAUACUUAAGCCAACAUUCAAACAUGCAAGCGUUAUGUCACGGUUAAUGAGUAUUGAUCCUCAUUUUUCUAUUUACAUAGGCGGUGCUGCAGGUGACAGAGGACUCUCAGAUGCGGCCAGAUUAUUUUUGAGAACGUCUAUUUCAUCUUUUCUUACAUUUGUAAAAGAAUGGAUAAUUAAUCGCGGAACAAUUGUCCCUUUAUGGAUAGUAUAUCCGCUAGAGGGUCAAAACCCAACACCUGUUAAUAAUUUUCUCUAUCAGAUCGUAGAACUGCUGGUGCAUGAUUCAUCAAGACAACAGGCUUUAAAAACUACCAUAAGUGAUCAUGUACAUCCUCACGACAAUCUUGUUUACACAUGUAAGAGUACAGCCAGCAAUUUCUUCCAUGCAUCAUUGGCGUACUGGAGGAGCAGGCACAGAAACAGCAACCGAAAAUACUUGGCAAGAGACUCUUCAACUGGAUCAAGCACAAACAACAGUGAUGGUCAUAUUGAGAGAAGUCAAGAACAAACCACCAGAGAUCCACAUGAUGGCACUGAACGGAAUCUAGUUCUACAAAUGAGCCAUGAAAUAAAAAGAACGACAACUCCACAAGAAAACACGCACCAGGGUCCGUCGUUCCAGUCCUUUCUAAGUGACUCUGCUUGUGGUACAGCAAAUCCAAAACUAAAUUUCGAUCGAUCGAGACACAAUGUGAAGUCUCAGGAUUAUAACUCGGCAUCCAAGAGGGAAGGUCAUCAAAUAACCUCACAUCGUCUAGUCCUACCUUUCUUUACAUUAUCUCAAGGGACACGCCAAUUAACGUCAUCCAAUGAGUCACAAACCCAAGACGAGAUAUCAAAGUACUUACGGCAAUUGAGAUCCGUCAUUGAUACCACAGUUUAUUGUAGGUUUACCGGUAUAGUCUCGUCCAUGCAUUACAAACUUGAUGAGGUCCUUUGGGAAAUAGAGAGUUUUAAGUCGGCUGUGACGCUAGCAGAGGGAGAAGGUGCUGGUGCCUUACUAUUGAUUCAGAAAUACCAAGUUAAGACCUUAUUUUUCAACACGCUAGCUACUGAGUCCAGUAUAGAGUCAGAAAUAGUAUCAGGAAUGACUACUCCUAGGAUGCUUCUACCUGUUAUGUCAAAAUUCCAUAAUAACCAAAUUGAGAUUAUUCUUAACAACUCAGCAAGCCAAAUAACAGACAUAACAAAUCCUACUUGGUUUAAAGACCAAAGAGCAAGGCUACCUAAGCAAGUCGAGGUUAUAACCAUGGAUGCAGAGACGACAGAGAAUAUAAACAGAUCGAAAUUGUACGAAGCUGUAUAUAAACUGAUCUUACACCAUAUUGAUCCCAGCGUAUUGAAAGCAGUGGUCCUUAAAGUCUUUCUAAGUGAUACUGAGGGUAUGUUAUGGCUAAAUGAUAAUUUAGCCCCGUUUUUUGCCACUGGUUAUUUAAUUAAGCCAAUAACGUCAAGUGCUAGAUCUAGUGAGUGGUAUCUUUGUCUGACGAACUUCUUAUCAACUACACGAAAGAUGCCACACCAAAACCAUCUCAGUUGUAAACAGGUAAUACUUACGGCAUUGCAACUGCAAAUUCAACGGAGCCCAUACUGGCUAAGUCAUUUAACUCAGUAUGCCGACUAUGAUUUACAUUUAAGUUAUAUCCGCCUUGGUUUUCCAUCAUUAGAGAAAGUACUAUACCACAGGUAUAACCUCGUUGAUUCAAAAAGAGGUCCACUAGUCUCUAUCACUCAGCACUUAGCACAUCUUAGAGCAGAGAUUCGAGAAUUAACUAAUGAUUAUAAUCAACAGCGACAAAGUCGAACUCAAACAUAUCACUUUAUUCGUACUGCAAAAGGACGAAUCACAAAACUAGUCAAUGAUUAUUUAAAAUUCUUUCUUAUUGUGCAAGCAUUAAAACAUAAUGGGACAUGGCAAGCUGAGUUUAAGAAAUUACCAGAGUUGAUUAGUGUGUGCAAUAGGUUCUACCAUAUUAGAGAUUGCAAUUGUGAAGAACGUUUCUUAGUUCAAACCUUAUAUUUACAUAGAAUGCAGGAUUCUGAAGUUAAGCUUAUCGAAAGGCUGACAGGGCUUCUGAGUUUAUUUCCGGAUGGUCUCUACAGGUUUGAUUGAAUUACCGUGCAUAGUAUCCUGAUACUUGCAAAGGUUGGUUAUCAACAUACAGAUUAUAAAAAACUCAUAAAUUGCUCUCAUACAUCAUAUUGAUCUGAUUUCAAUAAACAACUAUUCAAAUAACGAAAGGAGUCCCUAUAUUAUACACUAUAUUUAGCCUCUUUCCCUGCUUAAUAAUCAAAAAAUUCACAAUGCAGCAUGUGUGACAUAUUACUGCCGCAAUGAAUUUAACGCAACAUAAUAAACUCUGCACUCUUUAUAAUUAAGCUUUAACGAAAGGUCUGGGCUCAUAUUGUUAUUGAUAUAAUAAUGUUAUAUCAAUAUCCUGUCAGAUGGAAUAGUGUUUUGAUUGAUAACACGACUUCUUAAAACAAAAUUGAUCUUUAAGAUUAAGUUUUUUUAUAAUUAUCAUUACUUUAAUUUGUCGAUUUAAAAAUGGUGAUAGCCUUAAUCUUUGUGUAAAAUAAGAGAUUAUGUGUAAUAACUUUAACAUUUUUGUCUAGUAAGCUACUAUUUCAUACAGAAUGAUAAAAUUAAAAGAAAAGGCAGGACUGUAAAAUCAUAAAUACCUUCUUUACAAUAUAGCAGACUAGAUAAUAAUCUUCGUGUUAAUGAUAAUUAAGACAUUGACCACGCUCAUCAGAAGGCUCGCCAAAAUAAACGUUGCAAAAAGGAUUCCUGGAAAAAUGGUCGCACACAAAAAUUUAAAAAUAAAUCUAUUUCUUCUUUUUUGUGUGUCC